rnacentral:tRNA from 1 species
UGUUGAGUAGUGUAAGGGAUAAACACACCAGUUUUUGGCAUUGGGAAUGUUGGUUCGAAUCCAGCCUCAACAA